CUCAAAAGUGACAUUUGUUUAUCUCUUGUAGGUUAUUUAUGAAGAUUGGGCAAAUUGAAAUUUAUUGCAAAAGACAAGAAAUGCAAUGCAGCUGUUUAAGGGAAGAAAUUCUGCACUUUUGUUUCUUUGUGAACUGUAACUUUCUUGAAUUUGUGUCACAUUACUGAUAUUGAAAAAUUGAGUAAUGAUACAUGUUCAAAUAUAUGCCUUUUUGUAUUUGGUUGAAUGCAACUUGAGUGAGGAUUAAUUUUAAUAUUUUGGACUAGUUUGAGCCUUAUCAGAGUGCCAAAUUAUGUUUGUUGCAAUUUUGACUUCUGGUAUAUAUGGUGUUUUUGUUUGAUAGCAAAUUUUCAUGCUAUUGUUUAUAUUAUUUUCGGUGUUGCUGUUCUUGUUGCUGAUAUUUCUUAUUGCUGAUAUGGUUGUUAAUACAGAUUUGG
rnacentral:misc_RNA from 1 species